AUUUGGUGCAGCGCCGACCUGAAGUGAAGAUCCACGCCGCCCGGAAAAAUCAAGAGAGGCAGUCGCGACCAUGACGGUGGCGCAAGCUCGAGGUCGCGUCAAUGGCGUUUCAAACCAACUUGCGCCAGAUCGGGGAAGUGGCCAUGACGAGCAGCAGUGAACGGCGUGUUCGUGGCGCUUCUUGCCGCCAGAAACGCCCUUGCCGACGUCCAGCACCGCCUCGACCUUCAGUUAGGAGAUGAUCGACCUGAUGCGGACCCUCAUGACCGACGAUGACAAGGCCCGGCAAUUUCAAGCAGGAGGCCCCCGUCUCGCCAAUCCCCCAAUUCCCCAAGCUCAGCUACAGAUUUUGCAAGAGUUCUGAUGGAUUUUGAACAAUUUCUCCCUUGGAAGUCUGUUCUUCCAUUUUCCAGAGUUUUCGGCAGACUUCAAUGAACUUCUAGAUUUUUGUGCCAUGAGGGUGUGAAUGAGUGUGGUGUGUCUCUGAGAAUAUACAGUGUCGAUUUCUUGGUUCCUGGUGUUGUUCCUGUUCUGUAUUUAGCCCCGGUAUUUUUGCACAACAUUUGUCUAGAGCUACACAAAAUCUCCGCAAGGUACAUUAGUUUGCUAUUCAGCAGAUUGCAACGUGAGCUGAUGAGCCUCUACGUUCUGUUUGAAGAGUUGGCGCGUGUCUUAAUGUGGAGUACACCUGAUAAAUUCAGUGUGGUUGUCUUGGUCUAGGAUGAUUUGUCAGAUGCACACUUGGUUUUAAGUUCA